rnacentral:lncRNA from 1 species
AUUGUUGAUGAUUAUGGCUUACAGCCAAUGACCCAAAAAUCAGAAUAUUAUAUAAGACCAUAUUGCUUAUGCUUAUAUUUGGGGUUCCGUGUCUAAGAGGUUCAGGUCUAUGGAAAAUUUGAAUGGGUUUUUCAAAAACUGGCCUCUAUCACAGUCUGUGUUAAAUAAAUAUGUUCAGAACCCUGUACGUUUUAUUCUGUGAACAUUUACCUCCUAAACAUCACUGAAUCCUCUGAAUUAUGAGAUCGUUUAAGAGUAGUAAUGAGAAAAAAAUGCUAGCUUUAAGCUAAUGCUUAACUGACAUCACAGCACAGCGGCAGGGAAUGGCAGCGGACUCGAUUCUGCGCAACACCAGCGAACUCCGGACGGAUCGUGUUUUGGAUUAUUCUUUCUCUUCACAGAGGAUCAUUAAAGCAUUUAAACAGUAGCAGGAUUUUCACACACAUUAAUAGAGGCUCCCUGAUGCUCACGAGUGAUCUACAUUAUCUCGCAAAUCAGGACACUGUAUUUGGGGCGCUCUUGCAUACCGAGUGACUGACAAACAUAGUGAGAGUGAUAUAACAGAGCAAAAGGUAUUUUCUUUUUACAGAUUUAUUUAGUUUUUUGCCUUUUUGGCAUGUUUUUUGGCAAACUAACUUUAAACUAAUAUCAGAUGAUUAUCUGAGUAGAUGUAAAAAGCAGUGUUUUUAAUGAUAAUUUCAUUUAUUAGGGUAAAAAAAUCUAAACCUAAUAACUUAGGUUGUGCCAUCUUGGCGGCAACAACUGCAAUUAAGCUUUUGUGAUAACGCCUUUUAAAUCUCUAUGGGGGAAUGUUGGCCUGCACUUUCAGCCAAAUUUAUGGGUUUUCCAGCAUGAACGGCCUGUUUCAGAUCAUCAAAAACCUACUCUAAAACCUUGAUUCAACGGCGCACUUUCUGGUGUGUUUUGGAUCAUUGUCCUGCUGCAUAACCCAAGUACACCUGAGCUUAAGGUCUUUCCUUCAGAAUUUUCUAGUAAAGAGCAGAAUUCAUUGUUCCAUUACUUUUUUUUAAGUUUGUUUGGAUAGCAAAUACAGCAAAAACAAAUUUAAUUUGCAUGGGCCAAAUAAUUUUUCACGACUGUAAAAGCUUGAGGAUGGGGGGUUGUGCGGCAGGGUGCUUUCCUGAAAUUCCUGCAAAAAAAUUGUAUAGUGGGAACACUG